GAUAGCCGUAGAUGACAAAGGGAUUCAGUGUCGGACUGUUGACAAGACGCACAGCAUGAAUUGUGGCAUCAUAGAUUCCUCCCCAAAACAUGGCUUUUCCCACUAACAAUAAUGCUCCUGCACCAAGGAAAAGUAAGUGGUGUCCGAGAAUAAAACCAAGUUUUUUUGGAUCAUUCCA
rnacentral:antisense_RNA from 1 species